rnacentral:rRNA from 1 species
GAUGAACGCUGGCGGCGUGCCUAAUACAUGCAAGUCGAGCGAACAGACGAGGAGCUUGCUCCUCUGACGUUAGCGGCGGACGGGUGAGUAACACGUGGAUAACCUACCUAUAAGACUGGGAUAACUUCGGGAAACCGGAGCUAAUACCGGAUAAUAUAUUGAACCGCAUGGUUCAAUAGUGAAAGACGGUUUUGCUGUCACUUAUAGAUGGAUCCGCGCCGCAUUAGCUAGUUGGUAAGGUAACGGCUUACCAAGGCAACGAUGCGUAGCCGACCUGAGAGGGUGAUCGGCCACACGGGAGCUGAGAAACGGUCCAGACUCCUACGGGAGGCAGCAGUAGGGAAUCUUCCGCAAUGGGCGAAAGCCUGACGGAGCAACGCCGCGUGAGUGAUGAAGGUCUUCGGAUCGUAAAACUCUGUUAUUAGGGAAGAACAAAUGUGUAAGUUACUAUGCACGUCUUGACGGUACCUAAUCAGAAAGCCACGGCUAACUACGUG